AGUGAACGCUGGCGGUAGGCCUAGCACAUGCAAGUCGAACGGCAGCACAGUAAGAGCUUGCUCUUACGGGUGGCGAGUGGCGGACGGGUGAGGAAUAUAUCGGAAUCUACUUUUUCGUGGGGGAUAACGUAGGGAAACUUACGCUAAUACCGCAUACGACCUACGGGUGAAAGCAGGGGAUCUUCGGACCUUGCGCGAUUGAAUGAGCCGAUGUCGGAUUAGCUAGUUGGCGGGGUAAAGGCCCACCAAGGCGACGAUCCGUAGCUGGUCUGAGAGGAUGAUCAGCCACACUGGAACUGAGACACGGUCCAGACUCCUACGGGAGGCAGCAGUGGGGAAUAUUGGACAAUGGGCGCAAGCCUGAUCCAGCCAUACCGCGUGGGUGAAGAAGGCCUUCGGGUUGUAAAGCCCUUUUGUUGGGAAAGAAAAGCAGCAGGUUAAUACCCCGCUGUUCUGACGGUACCCAAAGAAUAAGCACCGGCUAACUUCGUG
rnacentral:rRNA from 1 species